GACGAACGCUGGCGGCGUGCUUAACACAUGCAAGUCGAACGGAAAGGCCCUGCUUUUGUGCGGUGCUCGAGUGGCGAACGGGGGAGUAACACGUGAGUAACCUGCCCUUGACUUUGGGAUAACUUUAGGAAACUGGGGCUAAUACCGGAUAGGAGCUCCUGCUGCAUGGUGGGGGUUGGAAAGUUUCGGCGGUUGGGGAUGUACUAGCGGCUUAUCAGCUUGUUGGUGGGGUAGGUGCUUACCAAGGCUUUGACGGGUAGCCGGCCUGAGAGGGUGACCGGCCACAUUGGGACUGAGGUACGGCCCAGAAGCCUACGGUAGGCAGCAGUGGGGAAUAUUGCACAAUGAGCGCAAGCCUGAUGCAGAAGCGCCGCGUUCGGGAUGACGGCCUUCGGGUUGAAAACAGCUUUCGAAUGUGACGAAGCGUGAGUGACGGUACUGGGUAAAGAAGCACCGGCUAACUACGUG
rnacentral:rRNA from 1 species